rnacentral:rRNA from 1 species
GAUGAACGCUGGCGGCGUGCCUAAUACAUGCAAGUCGAGCGAAUGGAUUAAGAGCUUGCUCUUAUGAAGUUAGCGGCGGACGGGUGAGUAACACGUGGGUAACCUGCCCAUAAGACUGGGAUAACUCCGGGAAACCGGGGCUAAUACCGGAUAACAUUUUGAACCGCAUGGUUCGAAAUUGAAAGGCGGCUUCGGCUGUCACUUAUGGAUGGACCCGCGUCGCAUUAGCUGGUUGGUGAGGUAACGGCUCACCAAGGCAACGAUGCGUAGCCGACCGGGGAGGGUGAUCGGCCACACUGGGACUGAGACACGGCCCAGACUCCUGCGGGAGGCAGCAGUAGGGGAUCUUCCGCAAUGGACGAAAGUCUGACGGAGCAACGCCGCGUGAGUGAUGAAGGCUUUCGGGUCGUAAAACUCUGUUGUUAGGGAAGAACAAGUGCUAGUUGAAUAAGCUGGCACCUUGACGGUACCUAACCAGAAAGCCACGGCUAACUACGUGCCAGCCGCCGCAGUAA